AGGGGGUAACCGCUGAAAGCAUCUAAGCGGGAACCCCUCCCCGAAAAGAGGCGGCCAUCUGCUACUGGGGUUUCCCGGUAGCGGCGAGGGCUCCCGUAGAAGACGGGUUUGAUGGGGUGGGGGUGUAAGCCCCGAGGGUUCGCCCGAGGGGUUGAGCCUACCACUCCCAAUCGCCCGAGGCUGUUGGGCG
rnacentral:rRNA from 1 species